GGGUCUAGAGAUUAUGACAACCUUUGCCUCAUCGUCUCCUUCCUCGACCAUCGAAAGCAGCAAGGAGGAUGGCCACGACCUUUUUUACGUGUACCUGUAGGUGGAAGCUAGUGAGAAGGCCCCACAGUCCUGGCCCAGCUUUCCCACACCCGGGGCUUGGAGGUCGCCGGGGAAGUGAAGUCCUGACCCUGCUCUGAGUUCGUCUCCUCUGUCCUUGUGACCUGAGAGGCUGCGUCCAGGUCUCCUGAGAACUGCUGUGCGGCAGGUACGGGUCGAAACCCUCUGUCCUUGGUUCACACAGACACCUGUCAACAUCCGCAGUCUUUACGACUCUGAACCUUUCUCUGACUCCCUUCCACGCCCACCCUCACCUGGGGGCAUCCUUCCUUGGGAGAAAAGAAAAGGGACUUGCCUCCAGGCUUCCCGCCAGAUGCUGCAACUUGCUGCCAGGGACCCGGACUCCUUUAAAGUCCGAGAGCUGCACCCACAUUUCCCCCACAAGGGACCCCAGGACCAGCGCAGGGGAAGAAACUUAGCUCUGACACUCAAGCUGCUUAUCUUGUACCAAUGCUAGACACAUCGCUGCUGCUGUCUGGGCAUGUCUUUUUCUCCAGUGUCACACAGAAGGACAUACUUAAAGCACAGCUUUCUGGGCUUGUGUAGUAUAUGCAUGAAUGUCCUCUUCACUGUUAGGAUAAGCUCUACUAACAAAAUUAAAUACCCAGCUGACUUUCUCACCAGAAAAAGUAGACAUGGCAGUAACUCCUGGAUCAGACCUGAGCCCUCCAAGCUGUGCUGUUAGCACUGGGAGACAAGCCUGAACCGCAAGUCCCUGAGGAAACUCUACAAACGGUAACAGCAGGGGUCCGGGCUGACAGGACGCAGAAGGGCAGUCCAGGUGCCAGGGCUGCAGACUUACAGCAUGGGGGAGGGAAGGGAGACAAGGUUUCAAGCCACUGUUCUUCUAGGCCAGUUACUUUGACCUUGUCAGUCCCAGGAUGCCACACCCGUCCUGGGUACAAACACCGGUCCGAGAGUAGCCUUUUGCACCAGAUGUGAGGAGAUGUGAGCCCACAUGCUUACUUUACUAAAGGUCUGGACUGAAAAGAUGCCUUUUUACUGCUGCUCCCUGAUGAGGCCUGGUCCCCAGGGCUGUUUGCCUACAAAUGAGGUGAGGCAGAAACUGCGUAACAGUCCUGCUGGAUGGUCCUGCCGCGAGGAUGUGAAAAUGCCCCCACUAACUUUGGGGACGUCUCAGCCAGGGAACUAACAGACCUUCCAUUGAAAGUCUUGCUCCAGCAGGUAGAUGGUAUUGUGAUUGCUGGUAAAACUGAGGAAGCUUCAGACCAAAAUACGGCCCUCACUUGAAGUUUUCUGGCAGACUGGGGAUAAUUUCUUAACCAACUGUACGGUGUCUGGGACUUGAGUUAUCAAAGGGCAAACUUACUGCUGGAUCUAAAAGAGGCAUCACCAGCGAGGAAGGGCAGAGCUCAGCGGCAGAGCGGGCGCUUAGCCUGUGGGGCUGAUCCCAGUACCGCCAUUAAAUGAAAGCAACCGUUAGGAGGCUGCACCGACCCCCCAAAGUCAUGGGGAUUUUUAGGAAAUGCUGUUUUGUUGCAUUUGGAUCCCUAACUUUGGACUCAGAGCCAGAGCCCUGUGUGAGGCUCUCAAAGGAAGUGACAACGAGCCCUAAAGAGGGGCUCCGGGCUGCCCUCCUGGGUUCCACAGCAUCAAGGAGAAACCUGAGCAGCCUCGCACUUGGUCUGUCAGGUGUUAUGAAGCCACGUGACCUUGUGCAUGAAGCGCAGGGCGGGCGUCCCGGAGGGCUGGCUCUAAGCUUAGGUGCAGUAGCCAGCAGGCUGCUUUUCCAAACAGACCUCGUAACUGAAGGACGGCUGGUCCCAGGCCAGCCUACCACUGCGCACGUCCGUGUGCCACCCUUCCUGGAACGGCAGGGCAUACACCAGGCCACGCUACUUAACAACCUGAGUGUAAGAGUAAAAGGUGAUAACCACUCUAAACCCAGUCACUCCCACAAGUGAACCUGUCCACGGCUACAUACAAAUGACUGACAAAGUCUAUUCUAGGGGACCCGACCUGACAGAUGUGCAAAUGCUUACGGACAGGAGCAACUUCAUGGACCAGGGACUCCGAAAGGCGGGGUGUGCGACAGCAAUGCACCAGGACUUGGAGCAGGAGGCCUGCCUCCAGGUAUGUCCACCCAGAGGGCAGCGCUCACAGGAGCCCAGCACCUUGGAGCCAAGAAAAAAGUAACCAUUUGUACAGAUCCUAUGGAUGCCUUCUCUGAAGUACAAGCACAUGGGGCCAUGUGGAGAGAGGUCCGCUAACAGCAGGAAGGAAUGUUAACACACAGAAGGAAGCAGCUGCGGGAAAUUGUUCCACUGGUCAGAGCGAGACAUCCAGACCCUAAGGCCCUAGUCCUCACCCCGGGCGCUGACCUGCCCCUGUGUAGGCCUCAGUGUUCAGAGCGCGCAAAUGAAUGGGAAUUGGAUGCCCACUCUGAUCAGUACCACCCACCCAAAGAAGUCUGGGUUCACUGUGGAGACCAGCUGGUGCUUACAGCUGAGCAUUUAAGGGACAGAAUGAUCAAGGAGCCCGUUAGGGGAGGGAUGCAAGCUAGCAUUAGCUACAAAAAUGUACUACUGGUCCACAAAUGCCAAGGUCUACCUCAAAGGUCGUACAGAAUUGCCUGGUCUGUGCCAGAAACAGUCCUUAAGCCUGGCCACCUCCAAUAAUAAAAGGGAUGCAAACCCGAGAGGUGGAACCAGGACCUACCGGCAGACAGACUUACUGUUGUGCCAAGAGCCAUGGGGAACUGUAGACAUUGCUGGGAUCUGAACGCCUUCAACAAGGUGGGCUGGGUGAAGCUUUUCCAUGCAGGGCAGAAAAGGGCUUCUGAGGUAAUGGGGGCCUUGCUAGGAGAAAUCAUGCGUCUUUGUGGGUUGCCUCUUUCAAAUCAAAGUGCCAACAAAGGAGCUUUCAUAGCCAGGGUAACUGGGGAUACAAGGGGAGUUACCGUGCUCCAUGGAGACCUCAGUCCGCGGCAAAGACUAAAAAGACGAGUCAUUCCUUAAAAAAGAGAACCACCAAAAUAGGCCAGGAAACCAACCCAGUUUGGGAGAAGGCCUUGCCGGUUACCCUGCACAGGCUAAAAGCAGCCCCCAGAGGCAAGCUCCAGCUGCGCCCUUGGGCAACGUUACACUGGAGAGCCUUCCUUAAGACUCAGCAUUGUUAGCGUUGCAAAUCAGCUGUUUCAAUAAAAAAACUAAAAAUGAAUGAAUGAAUAACAAUAUGUUCUUUAAGUAAAUACAGAACGAACAGCUCCCAUAGCACUUCAGGGAGCCGUGUAACCUGCAGCACACGGAGGAGGCCCUGCCUGCGCAGAAUGGGACCGCAGCCCAAAGAACAAAGGGCUGACUGUUCAGAAAUGUGAUGGGGGGGGGGUCUGGGCCACUGCUCAUGACUUGAGAGGCUGAGAACCCUUGUGAUGUUUGUGUACCAGUCACACCAAGAGGAAAGGUGGUCCUUACCUGCAAGUUUAGGAUCAAGUGAGUGUUGUCAGAGGCACAUGGGAGCUUCUAUUUUAGGCCCCAUCAUCUGGGAGCUCCUGGGGCCAAUUUUGAGGUCCUGGAAGAUUCUCAAGAAACAGGUGCUGCUUGUCCAUACACCGCUGGUUGCUCUGUGGACACAAAACAAGUCUGCAUUAAAAUCACUAAGGUGGGAUGGGGGGUGUCCUUUCCAUGCACAAGGUCCUAGGUUCAAUCCCCAGUAUCUCCACUAACAAAGACAAAAAAUCACUGAGGAAAACAAACCAUGGUUACCAAGGGGAAAGGGGUGGUGGGCAGGGAUUAACAGACCCAGGGCAGAAGCAGGGACUGGAAAGGAGCCUGGGUCAGACCCUCCCGGAGAGGCAGGAGGUGAAUGGCACCCACCUCGGGGAUGUGGAUGCUGGCUCCCACCAUGGGGACACUGGACACCGGAGCUGGUAAGCAUCAGGUAAGAACCCA